rnacentral:rRNA from 1 species
AUUGAACGCUGGCGGCAGGCUUAACACAUGCAAGUCGAGCGGAGAUGAGGUGCUUGCACCUUAUCUUAGCGGCGGACGGGUGAGUAAUGCUUAGGAAUCUGCCUAUUAGUGGGGGACAACAUUCCGAAAGGAAUGCUAAUACCGCAUACGCCCUACGGGGGAAAGCAGGGGAUCUUCGGACCUUGCGCUAAUAGAUGAGCCUAAGUCGGAUUAGCUAGUUGGUGGGGUAAAGGCCUACCAAGGCGACGAUCUGUAGCGGGUCUGAGAGGAUGAUCCGCCACACUGGGACUGAGACACUGCCCAGACUCCUACGGGAGGCAGCAGUGGGGAAUAUUGGGCAAUGGGCGGAAGCCUGAGCCAGCCAUGCCGCGUGUGUGAAGAAGGCCUUUUGGUUGUAAAGCACUUUAAGCGAGGAGGAGGCUACCUGGAUUAAUACUCUAGGAUAGUGGACGUUACUCGCGGAAUAAGCACCGGCUAACUCUGUGCCAGCAGCCGCCGUAAUAC